GACGAACGCUGGCGGCGUGCUUAACACAUGCAAGUCGAACGGUAAGGCCUUUCGGGGUCCACGAGUGGCGAACGGGUGGGUAACACGUGGGUGAUCUGCCCUGCACUUCGGGAUAAGCCCGGGAAACUGGGUCUAAUACCGGAUAGGACUGCGCGGUGCAUGCCGUGUGGUGGAAAGAUUUAUCGGUGCAGGAUGGGCCCGGGGCCUAUCAGCUUGUUGGUGGGGUAAUGGCCUACCAAGGCGACGACGGGUAGCCGGCCUGAGAGGGCGACCGGCCACACUGGGACUGAGACACGGCCCAGACUCCUACGGGAGGCAGCAGUGGGGAAUAUUGCACAAUGGGCGCAAGCCUGAUGCAGCGACGCCGCGUGAGGGAUGACGGCCUUCGGGUUGUAAACCUCUUUCAGCAGGGACGAAGCGUGAGUGACGGUACCUGCAGAAGAAGCACCGGCCAACUACGUG
rnacentral:rRNA from 1 species